rnacentral:misc_RNA from 1 species
CGGGACAACGAGGUCCUCAGGAUACUUUCGUGCUUCAAAUUGAAUCCUUUUGAGCAUCUUAAUUUACCUUUUGAUUCUUCACCCGAUGAUGUGAAAAGGCAAUACAGAAAGUUGUCAUUGCUGGUGCAUCCCGACAAAUGCAAGCAUCCGCAAGCUAAGGAUGCCUUUGGAGCAUUGGCGAAAGCACAGCAGCUGUUACUUGAUACACAAGAAAGAGAAUAUCUUCUUACUCAAAUUAAUGCUGCAAAAGAGGAGCUCAG